rnacentral:rRNA from 1 species
UACAGAGGGUGCGAGCGUUAAUCGGAAUUACUGGGCGUAAAGCGUGCGUAGACGGUUAUUUAAGUCGGGUGUGAAAGCCCCGGGCUCAACCUGGGAAUUGCAUUCGAGACUGAAUAGCUAGGGUACGGUAGAGGGAAGUGGAAUUUCCGGUGUAGCAGUGAAAUGCGUAGAUAUCGAGAGGAACACCAGUGGCGAAGGCGAGUCCCUGGACAACACCUGACACUGAGGCACGAAAGCUAGGGGAGCAAACAGG